rnacentral:rRNA from 1 species
GGAGGGUGCUAGCGUUGUCCGGAAUCACUGGGCGUAGAGCGCGCGUAGGCGGCUACUUAAGUCAUUUGUGAAAUCCCGGGGCUCAACUCCGGGGCUGCAAGUGAAACUGGGUGGCUAGAGCUCGGUAGAGGCGAGUGGAAUUCCCGGUGUAGCGGUGGAAUGCGUAGAUAUCGGGAAGAACACCAGUGGCGAAGGCGGCUCGCUGGGCCGUAGCUGACGCUGAGGCGCGAAAGCGUGGGGAGCAAACAGGAUUAGAUACCCUGGUAGUCCACGCCGUAAACGAUGGGUACUAGGCGUCGGGGGGGAGCGACCCCCUUCGGUGCCCGCAGCUAACGCAUUAAGUACCCCCGCCUGGGGGAGUACGGCCGCAAGGCUG